rnacentral:rRNA from 1 species
UACAGAGGCCCCAAGCGUUAGGCGGAAUCACUGGGCGUAAAGCGUGCGCAGGCGGUUUUGUAAGGCAGAUGUGAAAUCCCCGGGCUUAACCUGGGAAUGGCAUUUGGGACUGCAAGGCUGGAGUGUGGCAGAGGAGACUGGAAUUCCUGGUGUAGCAGUGAAAUGCGUAGAUAUGUGGAGGAAUACCGAUGGCGAAGGCAGCCCCCUGGGAUAACACUGACGCUCAUGCACGAAAGCGUGGGGAGCAAACAGG